UGGCGAACGGGUGAGUAACACGUGGGUGAUCUGCCCUGCACUUCGGGAUAAGCUUGGGAAACUGGGUCUAAUACCGGAUAGGAGCCAUCAUUAGUGUGGUGGUUUGAAAGUUUUUUCGGUGUAGGAUGAGCUCGCGGCCUAUCAGCUUGUUGGUGGGGUAAUGGCCUACCAAGGCGGCGACGGGUAGCCGGCCUGAGAGGGUGUACGGCCACAUUGGGACUGAGAUACGGCCCAG
rnacentral:rRNA from 1 species